rnacentral:rRNA from 1 species
UACGUAGGACCCGAGCGUUAUCCGGAUUCACUGGGUGUAAAGGGUGUGUAGGCGGGCGUGCGCGUCCGGGGUGAAAGGUUCCGGCUCAACCGGAAACAUGCCUUGGAUACGGCACGUCUUGGGUGCGGGAGAUGACGGUGGAAUUACUGGUGUAGCGGUGAAAUGCGUAUAUAUCAGGAGGAACACCAGUGGCGAAGGCGGCCGUCUGGCCCGCAACCGACGCUGAAACACGAAAGCGUGGGGAUCAAACAGG